rnacentral:rRNA from 1 species
UACGUAGGCAGCAAGCGUUGUUCGGAGUUACUGGGCGUAAAGAGUAUGUAGGCGGUUGCGUAAGUUCGGUGUGAAAUCUCCCGGCUUAACUGGGAGGGUGCGCCGAAACUGCGUGGCUUGAGUGCGGGAGAGGAGAGCGGAAUUCCUGGUGUAGCGGUGAAAUGCGUAGAUAUCAGGAGGAACACCGGCGGUGUAGACGGCUCUCUGGACCGUAACUGACGCUGAGAUACGAAAGCGUGGGUAGCAAACAGG